UCCUAUCUCUAUCCCCUCUCUCUCCGCCCCACCCCUCUCUCUCUCCCGCUCGUCUCUCCCUCUCCCUCCUGCGAGCAGCUACGGUGGCCAAUUCCGGCGAGCUCCGGCGGGAUUCGACAACGCCUGCCCUACAGUCGAGCGCCGCCCGACCCCGCCUCCCUUGAACACCGAGCUCCUCUGUGCCCCGCCCGCGUCCCUGCGUCGCCGCCGCCGCCCCACGCUGCCUCGCGCCCGGAUCCUGCUGCGGGAGGUCCAGCCACUCUGGAUCCGGCCUCCUCCUCGCCGGAGUGACGCCCCUCGCCGAAGCAGCGCCGGCCAAGCCCAUCGGCCACCAGAUUACAGAGAGGAAAAUGGCUCCAUGCCAUGGUGUCGCUGCUGUUUAAAAUUGCUCCAGAUUUCUUGAACAUGAGGAGAUGAUGUCCGCCAAUGACUCGUAGACUGGGGGUGGGCUGAAGCUCCAAGCUUGCUGGCUGGUAUUACCAUUACAUUAACUUUCCUCUUACUCACAUCUAGUACUCUACUAGACAACAGAAAAAUAGAGUCCCAUACAGGCUAUGCCAGUGUAUAGUUGGAAAGCUGUUUCUGUGUAGUUGGUACUGUAUGUUGGUACUGUUUGGGAAACAUCGUCUUCCUCCGAUGCCGCCAGCUUGCUAGAUCCAUCGUCUUUUUUUUUUUUUUGGAAAGCUGUUUCUGUGUAGUUGGUACUGUAUGUUCCAGUGGAUAGGGUUUGGCCGGUUUGUACUAUUGAGAAGAGCAGGGCAGAUUUAGCACGGCUAAUUAGUUUCACAAAAUGCCUUCUUAUGCAACAGAAAAUGCCUUCUUGUGCAACACAAAUUCUUUACUAAUCUCUUAAGAACAAAAUUCUUUAGGGUAGUCUGUGUUUUACCCACAAAAGAAAAAGUGUGUUAUGUAAGAGGCGAACCCUGUGGUAACUGUCUGUAACGGGCCAGCAUCGUUUGAACAGAUAAAAUGGUGUAACACUACAUAACUCGUUGUCAGAUCUAGUGUCAAGAACGCUCUUAUAUUAUGGGAUGGAGGGAGUAGUUGUCAGAUCUUCUUUUCGUUUAGUACUUGUUGAGGCUGUCAUAAUUUUCUUUUACUCGAAAUUCUGCUUGGAUUUUCUAAUUAUGCAUUUACCAAGAUUAAUGCUUAAAACUAAAGUUGGUCAUUGGAUCUUUUUUGGUUAGGCGAAUUUUAUGUUUGUACAUGCUUGAUAUGAAAGGAGGGGUUUAUUUAAUGAACUACACAUAUGGUUUCACAUUCCACCUCUGUGCUCGCAAUUUAAAUGCAGUAUAUUUUACUCACUAAUACAUCUUGAACAAUCUAAAAAAUAUAUAGCUUGGUUUAUCUUUGUAACUUCUUAGCUGAUUUUUCCAUUUUCCACAUUGUUGUGUCUAUUUUCUCAGUUUGGUCCUGUGUAAAUACUUGUCUUAGGGGUCUCUGUAUUGCAUAUACACGGAAUCUUCAAUUUGUCUCAAAUGCUCAGUGGUAAAAACCAGCCAUGCUCGCAGUUCUUAUCAGUGUGGUGGUAUGCUAACUGUUUCUGAUAUAAUUCUGCUCUAAAAGCCCUACACUAUUUUUGUCUGUGGAUACGCCGUGCAUACAAAUGCUGAGUUAAAAAGUCAUAACUUUACACUAAUUUAAGAUUGUCUUAUCUCAAGUGCUGGCUCCUACAGCAUUGCAUUUCACCAAGUGAAAUGCUACAUUUCUACUCCUAACCCAUUCUUUCUUUCUUAGUGUUUUUGUUAUGCAGGUUGGAAGAAAAGAAGAAGAUCGAGAGAAGAUCUUAGUAAUAAGAUAGUUUUUAGGAAAAUAGAUAUUUAGUUUUAAGUCAUUUCUUGUAAUUUCAUAUAUGGAGUGCUUCUCUUUAGUUUUUGUUUUUACUUUGUGAAACUUGCUACCUAUGGAUGAAACUUUGUAAUAUUGAUGAAACUAUGUAUAUGUAUGGAUGAAACUUGCUACUA